ACUGCUAAAACCCGAUGUGCCGCAAGGUGUAAAUAUUUAUAGCCUAGAGAAGAGCUUGCGUCUGAUUCAGCUAGUUGGUGGGGUAAGAGCUUACCAAGGCGACGAUCAGUAGCUGGUCUGAGAGGAUGAGCAGCCACACUGGGACUGAGGACACGGCCCAGACUCCUACGGGAGGCAGCAGUGGGGAAGUUUUCCGCAAUGGGCGAAAGCCUGACGGAGCAACGCCGCGUGAGGGAUGGAAGGCUCUUGAGGUUGUAAACCUCUUUUGCUUGGGAAGAAGAUCUGACGGUACCAAGCGAAUCAGCAUCGGCUAACUCCGUGCCAGCAGCCGCGGUAAUACGGAGGAUGCAAGCGUUAUCCGGAAUCAUUGGGCGUAAAGCGUCCCGCAGGUGGUUAUUCAAGUCUGCUGGUUAAAGAUUGAAGCUUA
rnacentral:rRNA from 1 species